rnacentral:tRNA from 2 species
GGGAGUUUGGCCGAGUGGUUUAAGGCGUCAGAUUUAGGUUCUGAUAUCUUCGGAUGCGUGGGUUCGAAUCCCAUAGCUCUCA